GACGAACGCUGGCGGCGUGCUUAACACAUGCAAGUCGAACGAUGAAGCCCUUCGGGGUGGAUUAGUGGCGAACGGGUGAGUAACACGUGGGCAAUCUGCCCUGCACUCUGGGACAAGCCCUGGAAACGGGGUCUAAUACCGGAUAUGACACGGGAUCGCAUGGUCUCCGGUGGAAAGCUCCGGCGGUGCAGGAUGAGCCCGCGGCCUAUCAGCUUGUUGGUGGGGUGAUGGCCUACCAAGGCGACGACGGGUAGCCGGCCUGAGAGGGCGACCGGCCACACUGGGACUGAGACACGGCCCAGACUCCUACGGGAGGCAGCAGUGGGGAAUAUUGCACAAUGGGCGCAAGCCUGAUGCAGCGACGCCGCGUGAGGGAUGACGGCCUUCGGGUUGUAAACCUCUUUCAACAGGGACGAAGCGCAAGUGACGGUACCUGUAGAAGAAGCACCGGCCAACUACGUG
rnacentral:rRNA from 1 species